rnacentral:lncRNA from 1 species
UGAGAUCGAAAGGUCAGUGAUGGUUUUGACUCCGAUUGGACCUGUUCUGAGCCUUUUUUUUCACGAUCUAUGACCGUUUCUCCUCUCUUAAACGGCUCAAUUGAUUGUUGAACAAUUUUUGAAGAUUUUCCGGUGAGUUUUCAACCUUUAGGGUUUCUGGUGGUCAAAUCGGUCGUUUGACUGCUAUCCAGUGGUUUGAUACUCAUUUUUGCGGAUGUUUUGGGUGUUAUCGUUACUGCUCCGACAUCGUU